GUGAACGGGAGCCAUCACACACAGCCUGCAGUGUUCCUGCCGUUCUCCAUGAUGGGACAUGUGGAUCCUGAUGAGCUCAGCAGGUUGAAGAACUGAGCAUAGCUUCCUGCCACCAUCCUUAAUAUUCUGCAGAGCUUGUUUAUACAUCCUGUAAACAUGAUGCAUCCAGUGUGGAACCCAAGCAGCGACAUGAUAGACAAAACGGUCUUGCAGAUGACAACAAAGAGAAAUGAAAGGGUUAUGGGUGAACCAUUGGGAUUCAUCCAUAUAUGUUUUGAUGUAAGCCGUUGGCUGAUUGAUGUGUACUGACUAAAGCUUGGUCCAUACAUCAUUCAAUUUAAAGAUCAUAUCCACUAGGUUAAAGGCUCCACAUUUAUGAGAAAAUAAAUUUUGUUAUUAAGCGGUUUUCCAAUUAUGUAGAUGAUUUAGACAUUUGUUUUGAUAUUGCCAUUACUUUAAUAAAUAACCUU